AAGUCGUAACAAGGUUUCCGUAGGUGAACCUGCGGAAGGAUCAUUAAAGAAUACCUGGACUCCGGUCCUCGUCGAGAAAGGUCGUCCCGGGUGGCCUCCAGGUCCCCGGGGGCUUCCCCCCCUCUUACCCUUCUCGUUUACCUCUACCUCUGCUUGCUUUGGCAUCAGCUCCUGCCCCGGGGUGGUUCCGGGCUUGGGCGUCCUGGCCGGAGGGCCCCCAACGCUCUGUGGGAUAGUCCUAUGUUUGUCUGAGUACGAUAUAAUCGUUUA
rnacentral:misc_RNA from 1 species